AAAGUCGUAACAAGGUUUCCGUAGGUGAACCUGCGGAAGGAUCAUUACAGAGUUCAUGCCCUCACGGGUAGAUCUCCCACCCUUGAAUAUCAUACUUUUGUUGCUUUGGCGGGCCGCCUAGGCUACCGGCUCUCGCUGGUAAGUGCCCGCCAGAGGACCCAAAACUCUGAAUUAUAGUGUUGUCUGAGUACUAUAUAAUAGUUAAAACUUUCAACAACGGAUCUCUUGGUUCUG
rnacentral:misc_RNA from 1 species